rnacentral:ncRNA from 1 species
CACCUAUAGAUCCUAUAGUGGGAUCCUAUAGAUCCUAUAGUUUUGGGCACAAUUCACGCCCAAAACGAGAAUAUAGUGACGGAAAAUAACAACACAGGAUUCUUUGAGUCCAUGACUGGAAUGAGAACACUCUAAAUUCUUUAACGAAUGUCUGUUGAAGCGCAAGGUUGGUGCCAGCAGCCAUACUAAUUCCACUUCCAAUGGAGUAUAUUACAGUUGUUACGGUUACAAAGCCCGUAGUUUGAUCUCAGUUCCAGACGGGUGGUUUGCCUAGUGUAACUUUCGCCGAGUUUCCGAGAUGGAAAAACUAAGACGGAUUGUCUUUUUUAAAUUUAUUUAAAAACUUAACAUAAGCCUUCUUCUUUAGUUAAAAAGUAACAUUACAGCAUUACUACAGAAGGGGAAAGGUGAUAGCUUCCUCGAGGCGCAAUGCAUCUUAUUCUCUCGCCAUGACUCGGACAAAAGCUCAUUUCUUAGGCUUACAAAAUGAGACAACGGAAACCCGUCAAAGGCCUCCGCGGUGGACACUGCUGUUCGAUCUCAACAGAACAGGAAGUUUUCUAAUAUACACUUGUUGUUUGUUACACUACGGAAAGUUAUUGCCUGUUCUGAAUAGCCAGCGGUUUUUUUUUUUUUUUUUUUUUUUUUUUUUUUUUUUUUUUUUUUUUUGAUGAUCUGAUGAUCUUCUCUGGUUGUGUUGGGUAGCAAAUUUACUUUGAAACAUUCUGGUGCUCAAAGUAGGUAUGAUGCUUGAAUAAUGGUGCCUGCAAUAAUGGAAUAGACCUCAGCUCUGCUGUGUUGGGUUUUUAGAAUAUGAGAUAAUGAUUACGAUGGACAUUCGUAUUCGGGGCUACGGGUGAAAUCGUUAGACUACAGCAAGAAAGGUGCUGCGAAAUCAUUUGCCAAGAAUGUUUCUAUUUGGUUGACUUUACCAUCCAACCUUCAUUGCUAUCAAAC